UCAAGAAGAGAGGUGGCUUUAACGCAGCUGACCUCGCUGGAGCUGUUUAAUUUUUCAAUGUAACAAUGGCAAAUCUGCAGGAUCCCUGUAGGACCGGAGGCCCGCGCUGUGUGGCCUUGAGAUUAUCUACGGGCUGAGCCCUCCUCGUUCGAGCUUAUUGAACUUCCUCACAUCCCCUUGUUUUCGUGGCUCUGAACUUUCCAGGACGCUUUCUGAAAGUCUGUUUUACGCAUAGAGACAGGAUCCCCCAAGGGGCUGUUAGGAGGUUACAGGGGGGUGGUGAGGGGGUCAGGGAGAAACUGUCAGUCUAUUUCCUUUCUCCGGCCUUGGGAAACUGCACCACAAGUCUUUUUUGCAUAUUUUUAGUGUUCUUGCUGGUUUUUGUCUUUUGAGUAUCCACAGGAGGAGACGAACCUAUUCCCAGUCCGCAAGAGCAGCUUAGUUUUUCUCAUGGAUAGCUUAUUAUUAGUGUUGACGUUUUAAAACGCCUUCUUUACAACCUAUAGACGAUGGCGUCCAGGAAGGAAUGCACAGAGCCUGGAAAGCUUCAUAUAUCUGCGCUGGACUCAUGACAUUGAUUGCUAUUGGCUGGGUCGGUAUAUUACUUUGCCUUGCAUAAGUAUUCAUCUCACUUAAAUUUGUCAUGUUUUUAUAGAUUACAAACUUAAACUCCAAAUGUAAUUUUUUUUUCUCUUUUUUAACAGAAAAAUCUGAAAAGUGUGGAGUGCAUUUUUCUUCGAGCACCUAACUUCAACCCUUCAACUGUCACCCUCAGGAUGCCUACAUGUGCUUUCAAAAUGCAAGCAUCACGCUGGAGAGACUUCCUGGCAGGAUGCCCUGAAGGCAAACCUCUCUGAUGUGCAACAUGUCCUCUCAGAGUGCUCCUGUUGUCAAAGGUAAUGCCCAAAAAACAAAUUCUGCGGGUGAAUAUGCACAGUAAGCUGGCAAGGGACAAGGGCUUUUGACACUGAAAGCUUCCUGGUUUGUGUUUGCAGGAAAAGCUGAGGAAAACAUCUAGACUUUAUUAAUAACAAAAGAAAUGUUUUUUGUUUUUUUGUUUUUUUUGUGACUGUAACUUAAUAUUUAGUCCCCAUUUUUCAUAUGUGUUGUUCAAACAAUUACCAACGCACAA